rnacentral:rRNA from 1 species
GACGAACCGUCCUAACGUUGUUCGGAAUCACUGGGCUUAAAGGGCGCGUAGGCGGGUUCCCAAGUCGGUGGUGAAAUCUUUCGGCCCAACCGGAAAACAGCCGCCGAUACUGGGAGUCUUGAGGGAGGUAGGGGUCGAUGGAACUUCCGGUGGAGCGGUGAAAUGCGUAGAUAUCGGAAGGAACGCCGGUGGCGAAAGCGAGCGACUGGACAUUUUCUGACGCUGAGGCGCGAAAGCCAGGGGAGCAAACGGG